GACGAACGCUGGCGGCGUGCUUAACACAUGCAAGUCGAACGGAAAGGCCCUGCUUGCAGGGUACUCGAGUGGCGAACGGGUGAGUAACACGUGGGUGAUCUGCCCUGCACUUCGGGAUAAGCCUGGGAAACUGGGUCUAAUACCGGAUAGGUGCCAUUUUUAGUGUGAUGGUUGGAAAGUUUUUUCGGUGUAGGAUGAGCUCGCGGCCUAUCAGCUUGUUGGUGGGGUAAUGGCCUACCAAGGCGGCGACGGGUAGCCGGCCUGAGAGGGUGGACGGCCACAUUGGGACUGAGAUACGGCCCAGACUCCUACGGGAGGCAGCAGUGGGGAAUAUUGCACAAUGGGCGCAAGCCUGAUGCAGCGACGCCGCGUGGGGGAUGACGGCCUUCGGGUUGUAAACUCCUUUCGCUAGGGACGAAGCUUUUGUGACGGUACCUAGAUAAGAAGCACCGGCUAACUACGUG
rnacentral:rRNA from 1 species